ACAAGAUUGGAUUUGGAUUACCACCUAGUGGCGGACGGGUGAGUAACACGUAGGUGACCUGCCUUGAAGAGGGGGACAACAGUUGGAAACGACUGCUAAUACCGCAUGACGCAUAGGGGUCGCAUGAUCUUUAUGCCAAAGAUUUAUCGCUUCAAGAUGGCCUCGCGUCUGAUUAGCUAGUUGGCGGGGUAACGGCCCACCAAGGCGACGAUCAGUAGCCGGACUGAGAGGUUGAACGGCCACAUUGGGACUGAGAUACGGCCCAGACUCC
rnacentral:rRNA from 1 species